rnacentral:rRNA from 1 species
UACAGAGGUCUCAAGCGUUGUUCGGAUUCAUUGGGCGUAAAGGGUGCGUAGGUGGCGCCGUAAGUCGGGUGUGAAAUUUCGGGAGCUUAACUCCGAAACUGCAUUCGAUACUGCGGUGCUUGAGGACUGGAGAGGAGACUGGAAUUCGAUGGUGUAGCAGUGAAAUGCGUAGAGAUCAUGAGGAAGACCAGUGGCGAAGGCGGGUCUCUGGACAGUUCCUGACACUGAGGCACGAAGGCCAGGGGAGGCAAACGGG